GACGAACGCUGGCGGCGUGCCUAAUACAUGCAAGUCGAACGAGAGCGACCGGUGCUUGCACUGUUCAAUCUAGUGGCGAACGGGUGAGUAACACGUGGGUAACCUGCCCAUCAGAGGGGGAUAACAUCCGGAAACGGAUGCUAAAACCGCAUAGGUCUUCGAACCGCAUGGUUUGAAGAGGAAAAGAGGCGCAAGCUUCUGCUGAUGGAUGGACCCGCGGUGCAUUAGCUAGUUGGUGAGGUAACGGCUCACCAAGGCCGUGAUGCAUAGCCGACCUGAGAGGGUGAUCGGCCACAUUGGGACUGAGACACGGCCCAAACUCCUACGGGAGGCAGCAGUAGGGAAUCUUCCGCAAUGGACGCAAGUCUGACGGAGCAACGCCGAGUGAGUGAAGAAGGCUUUCGGAUCGUAAAACUCUGUUGUUAGAGAAGAACAAGUGCUAGAGUAACUGUUAGCGCCUUGACGGUAUCUAACCAGAAAGCCACGGCUAACUACGUG
rnacentral:rRNA from 1 species